CCUACGGGUGGCAGCAGUGGGGAAUAUUGGACAAUGGGGGGAACCCUGAUCCAGCCAUGCCGCGUGUGUGAAGAAGGCCCUCGGGUUGUAAAGCACUUUCAGUGAGGAAGAACGCCUGGUGGUUAAUACCCAUCAGGAAAGACAUCACUCACAGAAGAAGCACCGGCUAACUCCGUGCCAGCAGCCGCGGUAAUACGGAGGGUGCGAGCGUUAAUCGGAAUUACUGGGCGUAAAGCGCGCGUAGGUGGCUUGAUAAGCCGGUUGUGAAAGCCCCGGGCUCAACCUGGGAACGGCAUCCGGAACUGUCAAGCUAGAGUGCAGGAGAGGAAGGUAGAAUUCCCGGUGUAGCGGUGAAAUGCGUAGAGAUCGGGAGGAAUACCAGUGGCGAAGGCGGCCUUCUGGACUGACACUGACACUGAGGUGCGAAAGCGUGGGUAGCAAACAGGAUUAGCUACCCUAGUAGUC
rnacentral:rRNA from 1 species